ACGGCGCUCGGGGGCGGGGUUUGGCUACUUGAUGGAUUGCGCAGUCGCAACCGGACCUGUUUCUCCUCCGUCCCACUAUCCACCGCUCCCGCAGGGCGACAGCUGGUCACUUUGGGCUUUCCACUUGUCUCCAGCAGAAAUCUGAGGAAACUAAGACGAAUCACCAGUCCUGGGCUUUGAAUGCUGCAAAACGUGUAGCUGUGGCCUGCUGCCGCCUGCCACCUUGUUGCACAUAAAGGAUGGAAGAAGAGUGGUCUUCCUGGGACCCACAGUGGGCAGGAAGAAUAUCUGGCAGACUCUUCUGUGAAGUGGGAAUGCCGAAGGACCCCCCUGCCUUGACAGAGUUCCACAGUUGUUCUCCUGUGCCCCACUUGUCCUGUCUGUACAGCACAAUCAGCAGUCAAAGCAAGAGCGGUUUCUUGCCCAAAUGGCUAUCCUUGCCACAGUGAAAACAAACUCCAAAUGGAGUUUCUUCAGUGCCCAACAUCCUUUUAUAAAGUAAAUUGGUGCUAUCAGGAGCA